CACCGGUAGGCAACGACGCGCUUGCCUGAUGAGCCCCAAGAAGGGCGAAACCGGUC
rnacentral:hammerhead_ribozyme from 13 species